rnacentral:rRNA from 1 species
CCUACGGGGUGCAGCAGUCGGGAAUUUUGCGCAAUGGGCGAAAGCCUGACGCAGCAACGCCGCGUGAGGGAUGAAGGCCUUCGGGUUGUAAACCUCUUUUCUCAGGGAAGAUAAUGACGGUACCUGAGGAAUAAGCCACGGCUAACUACGUGCCAGCAGCCGCGGUAAUACGAAGGGGGCUAGCGUUGCUCGGAAUGACUGGGCGUAAAGGGCGCGUAGGCGGUUUAUGCAGUCAGAUGUGAAAUCCCCGGGCUUAGCCUGGGAACUGCAUUUGAGACGCAUAGACUAGAGGUCGAGAGAGGGUUGUGGAAUUCCCAGUGUAGAGGUGAAAUUCGUAGAUAUUGGGAAGAACACCGGUGGCGAAGGCGGCAACCUGGCUCGAUACUGACACUGAGAGACGAAAGCUAGGGGAGCGAAUGGGAUUAGAUACCCUUGUAGUC